ACUGAGAGAGGGCCCUCGCGCCCCCGGGGGUUUCGGCCCCCGACUCUUCACCCAUUGUCUACUUACCUUCGUUGCUUUGGCGGGCCCCGGGGCUCGCCCCGCGUCGGCUUCCGGGCUGGCCAGCGCCCGUCAGAGGCCCAUUCAAUUCCGUUUGAUCAGUGACGUCCGAGUAUCAGAUAGAACAGCAUAAAACUUUCAACAACGGAUCUCUUGGUUCCAGCAUCGAUGAAGAACGCAGCGAAAUGCGAUAAGUAAUGUGAAUUGCAGAAUUCAGUGAAUCAUCGAAUCUUUGAACGCACAUUGCGCCCCUCGGCAUUCCGGGGGGCAUGCCUGUUCGAGCGUCAUUGCACCCCUCAAGCGUAGCUUGGUAUUGGGCCUUCGCCCCUGCGGCGUGCCCGAAAAGCAGUGGCGGCCCGGUGGGGCUUUAAGCGUAGUAUAAUCUCAUCCCGCUUUUGAAGGCUCCCGUCGCGGCCGGCCGAACGACCCCCAUCACUUCAAUGAUUGACCUCGGAUCAGGUAGGGAUACCCGCUGAACUUAA
rnacentral:rRNA from 1 species